GAUGAAGACGUAGCGAAAUGCGAUAAGUAAUGUGAAUUGCAGAAUUCAGUGAAUCAUCGAAUCUUUGAACGCACAUUGCGCCCGCCAGUAUUCUGGCGGGCAUGCCUGUCCGAGCGUCAUUUCAACCCUCGAACCCCUCCGGGGGGUCGGCGUUGGGGAUCGGCCCUUUACCGGCCGGCCCCGAAAUACAGUGGCGGUCUCGCCGCAGCCUCUCCUGCGCAGUAGUUUGCACACUCGCACCGGGAGCGCGGCGCAGUCCAAUGCCGUAAAACACCCAACUUUCUGAAAUGUUGACCUCGGAUCAGGUAGGAAUACCCGCUGAACUUAAGCAUAUCAAUAAGCGGAGGA
rnacentral:misc_RNA from 1 species